AAUAGAUGACGCCGUUGACUUUUUCUCACAUGUUUGACCAUUCGUCUUAUUCAAAAAAUUUACGUAAUUAUAAUUUAUUUUGUUAUGAGUUGUUAUAUCACUCAUAAUACUUUAAGUGUGAUUUAUAUCUUAUACAUUUGCAUAAAAUUUUUGAAUAAGACGAAUGGUCAAACAUGUGAGAAAAAGUUAACGGCGUCAUCUAUU
rnacentral:pre_miRNA from 1 species